rnacentral:lncRNA from 1 species
GGACAUAAGACUUGGCUAGCGAGUUCAGUAUUGCAUCUUUUCCAAGCUGCUCAUGCAAGAGAAAGCCAAGCUUGCUCAAAUGCUUCAUCAACUCGAUCAUGUACAAUUCAUGAUCAGUGACAGAGGCACCAUCCCACAUUUUAGCAUUGAAGAUGGCACAACUAGUCUUGUGCCUCUCCGCAUCAUCGGGUGUGCUAAAGGCAUCCUCCAACACUUGAAGCAUAUCCUUUGGCUGAGCCAUCUCAAAUCUAUGACUGAACUCAUUGCUUAUGACAACCAGCAUGAUGCAGCACACCAUGGUCCGAUCACUGAGCCACUUCUGGUAAGUAUCUCUUAUUGUUCCACGUGCAUUGGCAGCUGGCUCCUCAGCUGCAAGAUCCGUUAUCACAUAUAGGAUCCGUUCAUGCUCCAGCACUAUCUUCAACUUUCGGUAUCAACUAUCGAAGUUGGGUCCCACC